rnacentral:rRNA from 1 species
UAAAAGGUAACGGAGGUGCUCAAAGGUUCCCUCAGAAUGGUUGGAAAUCAUUCAUAGAGUGUAAAGGCAUAAGGGAGCUUGACUGCGAGACCUACAAGUCGAGCAGGGUCGAAAGACGGACUUAGUGAUCCGGUGGUUCCGCAUGGAAGGGCCAUCGCUCAACGGAUAAAAGCUACCCCGGGGAUAACAGGCUUAUCUCCCCCAAGAGUUCACAUCGACGGGGAGGUUUGGCACCUCGAUGUCGGCUCAUCGCAUCCUGGGGCUGUAGUCGGUCCCAAGGGUUGGGCUGUUCGCCCAUUAAAGCGGUACGCUAGCUGGGUUCAGAACGUCGUGAGACAGUUCGGUCCCUAUCCGUCGUGGGCGUAGGAAAUUUGAGAGGAGCUGUCCU